CUAUUUUGUUUUGCGGGAUUGACCAGAUCUCAGGACUGUAAGAACUAUGAAAAAGUCUGAUUCUAUACAGAUGGCUUAUUGUGACCAUCUACCAUUUUGGCAUGAAUUUACUAAAGAAACUUUUUUUGAGUUCCUAAGAAAAAAAGAAUAAUGUAGAAUGCUGCAUGUGGUAGAAAUAAGGAGUUGCAGGAUAGCUUUGGGAGGCCUGUGAAGUAAAAGACACUCAAUUCCUGAACAAAACUGGGAAAUAGAAAAGCAAAGAAGGGAAAGAUUAAAGGAGAAAAGUCAUGUGUUGAAAGAAGCAUUUGAGGAAAUCCAACACUUGUUCCUGAUAAAAACUCAUAGUGAACCAAAGACUGCUUGACAAGGACAGAAAGAACCCAGAAACCACUUCUAGACGGAGACUCUAGCGCCCCAAAACCUGGUCACAUGUUUAGCAGAGCCAGCCAGGAGGCAAUCUCAGUCUUGAUAUACAAGGAAGAACAACUGAUUUGAGCAACUGUAUCACCUUGGCUGAGGUAAUACAAUCAGAGCAUCAAGUAAUACAAUCAGAGCAUCAAGUAAUACAAUAAGAGCAUCAAGCACAGCCCAGAAAAUGACAAACGGUUGUAACUAUUAAUUUGCCACCUAAUGGUAUGAAUGUGAUUUGUAUAUAAUAAAGUCUAAACAAACCAGGAAAUUGUAGACAGUAAGUAUCCCAUCAAUAUGGUAAUUUUACCCUCAUGGGAGAAAACUUAAAAGGUUAGGGGAAAAAUAGAGAAGUACAAGAAGAGAAAGAGAUUAGAAGCAAGGCUGGAGGACAAAGGAAGACUAAGCAAGCUUUGGGAAGCUGGUGAAGAUGACUGGAAGGAAAGAAAGAAGGAAGAAACAGAACAA